GAUGAACGCUGGCGGCGUGCCUAAUACAUGCAAGUCGAGCGAACGGACGAGGAGCUUGCUUUUCUGAUGUUAGCGGCGGACGGGUGAGUAACACGUGGAUAACCUACCUAUAAGACUGGGAUAACUUCGGGAAACCGGAGCUAAUACCGGAUAAUAUUUUGAACCGCAUGGUUCAAAAGUGAAAGACGGUCUUGCUGUCACUUAUAGAUGGAUCCGCGCUGCAUUAGCUAGUUGGUAAGGUAACGGCUUACCAAGGCAACGAUGCGUAGCCGACCUGAGAGGGUGAUCGGCCACACUGGAACUGAGACACGGUCCAGACUCCUACGGGAGGCAGCAGUAGGGAAUCUUCCGCAAUGGGCGAAAGCCUGACGGAGCAACGCCGCGUGAGUGAUGAAGGUCUUCGGAUCGUAAAACUCUGUUAUUAGGGAAGAACAUAUGUGUAAGUAACUGUGCACAUCUUGACGGUACCUAAUCAGAAAGCCACGGCUAACUACGUG
rnacentral:rRNA from 1 species